GGAGUUAGCCGGUGCUUCUUCUGUGAGUGAUGUCCUUCCUGCCGGCUAUUAACCCGCAGGCCUUCUUCCUCACUGAAAGUGCUUUACAACCCGAAGGCCUUCUUCACACACGCGGCAUGGCUGGAUCAGGGUUGCCCCCAUUGUCCAAUAUUCCCCACUGCUGCCUCCCGUAGGAGUCUGGGCCGUGUCUCAGUCCCAGUGUGGCUGAUCAUCCUCUCAGACCAGCUACGGAUCGUCGCCUUGGUGAGCCGUUACCUCACCAACCAGCUAAUCCGACAUAGGCUCAUCCGAUAGCGCGAGGCCCGAAGGUCCCCCGNUUUCCCCCGUAGGGCCGUAUGCGGUAUUAGCCUGGGUUUCCCCAGGUUAUCCCCCACUACCGGGCAGAUUCCUAUGCAUUACUCACCCGUCCGCCGCUCGCCACCAGGGAGCAAGCUCCCCGUGCUGCCGCUCGACUUGCAUGUGUUAGGCCUGCCGCCAGCGUUCAAUCUGAGCCAUAAUCAAACUCUGA
rnacentral:rRNA from 1 species